ACCUGGGUGGCUUAGUCGGUUGAGCGUCUGACUUCGGCUCAGGUCAUGAUCUCACAGUUUGUGGGUUCAAGCCCCACAUCAGGCU
rnacentral:tRNA from 1 species